CCCAGGAGGCAGAGCUUGCAGUGAGCUGAGAUCAUGCCACUGCACUCCAGCAGGGGUGACAGAGCAAGACUCUGUCUCAAAAAAAAAAAAAAUUACCCAGUCUCAGGUAUUUUUUUUCUUUUUCUUUCUUCCUUUUUUUUUUUUUUUUUUUGAGACAGGGUCUCACUCUACUGCCCAGGCUGGAGCACAGUGGUGCAAUCAUGGCUCACCACAGCCUCAACUUCACAUGCUCUAGUGAUCCUCCCACUUCAGCCUCUCAAGUAGGUGGGACUACAGGUGCACACCACCACACCUGGCUAAUUUUUAAAAAUUAUUCGUAGAAGGCCAGACGCAGUGGCUCAUGCCUGUAAUCCCAGCACUUUGAGAAGCCAAGGCAGGUGGAUCACCUGAGGUCAGGAGUUUGGGACUAGCUUGACCAACAUGGUGAAACCCUGUCUCUAUUAAAAAUACAAAAAAAUUAGCCAGGCAUGGUGGCAGGCGCCUGUAAUCCCAGCUACUUGGGAGGCUGAGACAGGAGAAUCACUUGAACCCGGGAGGCGGAGGUUGCAGUAAGCCAAGAUUGUGCCAUUGCACUCCAGCCUGGGCAACAAGAGCAAAACUCCAUUUUUUUUUUUUGAGACGGAGUUUCGCUCUUGUUGCCCAGGCUGGAGUGCAACGGCGCGAUCUCGGCUCACUGCAACCUCCGCCUCCCAGCUCUCAGGUUCAAGUGAUUCUCCUGUCUCAGCCUCCCAGGUAGCUGGGAUUACAGGCACAUGCCACCAUGCCCGGCUAAUUUUUGUAUUUUUAGUAGAGAUGGGGUUUCAUCAUAUUGGUCAGGCUGGUCUCGAACUCCUGACCUCAGGUGAGCCGCCCGCCUUGGCCUCCCAAAGUGCUGGGAUUACAGGCGUGAGCCACCGCACCCAGCGAAACUCCAUCUUAAAAAAAAAAAAUUCUUCGUAAAGACAGGGUUUCACCAUGUUGCCCAGAUGGUCUCAAACUCCUAGGCUCAAGUGAUCCUCCAGCCUCAGUUUCCCAGUGUUAGGAUUACAGGGUAUUUCUUUAUAGCAAAGGAAGAAUGGCUUAAUACAUUCCCUUCUCUAUGGCAGAGGUCACCCAGGUCCUGGGCUGAGAUUGACAAGAAGCAAUUGCAAAAAAAAAAUUUAUGUAUAUUUUUUGAGACAGAGUCUCCCUCUGUCACUUAGGUUGGAGUGCAGUGGUGCAAUCUCAGCUCACUGCAACCUCCACCUCCCGGGUUCAAGCAAUCCUCCCACCUCAGCCUCCUGAGUAGCUGGGACUACAGACAUGCACCACUGCACCUGGCUAAUUCUUAAAUUUUCUGUAGAGACAGAGGUCUGACUAUAUUGCCCAGGCUGGUCUCAAACUCCUGGAUUCAAGCAAUCCUCCCACCUCAGCCUCCCAAAGUACUGGGAUUAUAGGCUUAAGCCACCGCACCUAGCCCAAGAAGCAGGUUUUUGUUUGUUUUUGAUACAGAGUCUUGCUGUUGUCACCCAGGCUGGAGUGCAAUGGUGUGAUCUUAGCUCACUGCAACCUCCACCUCCCAGGUUCAAGUGAUUCUCCUGCCUCAGCCUCCUGGUAGCUGGAAUUACAGGUGCCUGCCACUACUCCUGGCUAAUUUUUUUUUUUUUUUUUUUUGAGACAGAGUCUCCGUCACCAGGCUGGAGUGCAGUGGCCCAAUCUUGGCUCACUGCAACCUCCACUUCCUGGGUUCAAGCACUUCUCCUGCCUCAGCCUCCCGAGUAGCUGGGUAUUUUUAAUAAAGACGGGGUUUCACCAUGUUGGCCAGGAUGGUCUCGAUCUCCUGACCUCGUGAUCUGCCCACCUUGGCCUCCCAAAGUGCUGGGAUUACAGGUGUGAGCCAUCAUGCCUGGCCUGUUUGUAUUUUUAGUAGAGAUGGGGUUUCACCACAUUGGCCAGGCUCCUCUCAAACUCUUGACCUCAGGUGAUCCACCCUCCUCAGGCUCCCAAAGUGUUGGGAUUAUAGGCAUGAGCCACAGCGCCCAGCCUCGAGAAGCAGUUUUUAGCUCAAAACAUUUCUGUUCAAUAUUUCUUUACCUCCUGAUGAAUAAAUACCAGUGCAAGGACACCAAUGCCGAGCACACCCCCUACAUAGCCUCAUACUGAGGUCUCUGGGCUGGGGUUUUAGUGCCUGCUCAUAUCCUUAUCUCUCAAGCCAAAGCAACCCUUAUGGCCCUAAAUUCUCAAGAGCUUACCAUUGAGGCUCUUAUAGAUUUAACACCCAAUACAGGGCCAACUCUGGAAAGGCACAGUGGUUUUUUUUUUUUAGACAGGGUCUUGCUGUCAUCCAGGCUAGAGUAUAGUGGAUGGAUCAUAGUUCAAUGCAACCUCAACCUCCUGGGCUGAAGCCAUCCUCCUGCCUGACCCUCCCCAGUAGCUAUGACUACAAGUGUGCACCACCAUGCCCAGCUAAGUUGAUUUUUAUUCUAUAGAGAUGGGGUCUUGCUAUGUUGCCCAGGCUGGUCUUAAACUCCUGGUCUCAAGGGAUCCUCCCACUUUGGCCUCUUAAAGUGCUAGGAUUACAGAUGUGAGUCACUGCACCUGGCCAGGCACACUGUUCUUUGAUGAAGGUUUGGUAACAGCAAAAUCCAUGAAGUGGACAGGCUCUGGAGCCAUACUGUCUUGGGUCAAAUCCCUACUCCACCAUUAAUUAGCUUUGAGAUCUUAUUACUUGACUAGGUGCAGUGGCUCACGCCUGUAAUCUCAGCACUUUGGGAGGCUCCAAUUGAAGACUAGAGCUCAGAUUGCCUCCAUGAAAGUUAGAAGGGAGAGGGCUGGGUGCGGUGGCUCACAACUGUAAUCCCAGCACUUUGGGAGGCUGAGGCCGAUGGAUCAUGAGGCCAGGAGUUCGAGACCAGCCUGGCCAACAUGGUGAAACCCCUUCUCUACUAAAGAUACAAAAAAUUAGCCGGGCAUGGUGGUACAUGCCAGUAGUCCCAGCUACUCAGGAGGCUGAGGCAGAAUCGCUUGAACCUGGGAGGCAGAGGUUGCAGUGAGCCGAGAUCGCGCCACUACACUCCAGGUUGUUAACAGAGCGAGACUGUGUCUCCAAAAAAAAAAAAAAAAUUCAAAUUAGAAAAAAAAAUGCAGGCCAGGCGCGGUGGCUCACGCCUGUAAUCCCAGCACUUUGGGAGGCCGAGGUGGGCGGAUCAUGAGGUCAGGAGAUCAAGACCAUCCUGGCUAACAUGGUGAAACCCCGUCUUAACUAAAAAAUAAAAAAAAAAUUAGCCGGGC
rnacentral:lncRNA from 10 species